GAAGCAAGCCAAGACAGCCGCUGGCCGUUGCUGCAACUUCGGUUGAUCACAGCACGGCGGGAGGAAGGUCCGGACUCCAUAGAGCAGGAUGACGGUUAAUGGCCGUCCGCCGUGAGGCGAGGAAUAGGGCCACAGAGACGAGCGUAUUAAGUUACGGUGAAACGCGGUAACCUCCAUCCGGAGCAAUUCCAAAUAGGCACGCGUUGAUGUUGCUCGCGGAGCGUGCGGGUAGGAAGCUUGAGCCGUGAAGCAAUUCACGGCCUAGAUGAAUGGCUGUCAUAGCGGACAGGUUUACUUGUCCGCCGUAACAGAAUCCGGCCUAUCGGCUUGCUUCAUUU
rnacentral:RNase_P_RNA from 2 species